rnacentral:lncRNA from 1 species
AUGGAUAGUGAAAUUUUUUUCUUGUCAGUUAACUUCAAAAUAAAACAAAACUGUUUGACCCGUGGAGUUUAUUCAGACGGAAAGCCAGGUUGCCUGACUCGUCCAGUUUGCAAUUUUCCCAGCGCAUCGGCUUUGGCCCCGGAGACAACACCCCCAGGGAGAGGCACAUUUUCAAAGCCACCCUUCACCGGCCCCAGGCCCGGGGCUCUGAUCUCCCUGAGCGCCUCAGUUGGUCCCGGAAAGCGAGGAGAAGAGGGGGUGCAGAGGAAGAAGUGCACCCAAAGAGCUGGCGAAGGCCCCCAUAGUGUUCCAGAGACGUCAGGUGGUGACGGCGGAAGCACUGAAAAUGCGCAGCCUAGAGGUCGCCCCAACCGCGUGCCCUGGUCAAAAGUGAAUAAGGCUUGGUGAAUGGGAAAGUGUCUGCCCAGUGGUUGAGCUGGUGGGAAGGUAUGGAAUCUGCCUACACCUCAGCUCUGUGGCUAGCAUGGAGGUUGAGAGCUGGAGGUCUGGGUUCGAAUCCCAGCUCUGCUCUGCAGCUCACACACUUUGUGUGUGUGUGUGUGUGUGUGUGUGUGUGUGUGUCCUUAUGCAAGUUCCUUAACAUCUCUACUUGUCACUUUCUGCAUCUGUAAAAAGGGGGUUCCAGGAACAGUAACUCCCUCAAAGAAUGUUAGAGAAGACUAAAUGAGUUAAUAUUUAUCUAAUACUUAGAAGAGUGUCUGGCUCAACAUGCAGACUGUUUGAACCAUUUGAUAAAUAAAAAAACACACAAACUUCCACUUCAGACCACCUUUCCAGGGGAAGGGAGGACAUACAAGACCUCAAAAAAAAGGUGGGAAGGAGAUCAAAGACAUAAAGAAAAGAGAUGAGGAGUUCCCGUCGUGGCGCAGUGGUUAACGAAUCCGACUAGGAACCAUGAGGUCGCGGGUUCGGUCCCUGCUCUUGCUCAGUGGGUUAACGAUCCGGCGUUGCCGUGAGCUGUGGUGUAGGUUGCAGACGCGGCUCGGAUCCCGCGUUGCUGUGGCUCUGGCGUAGGCCGGUGGCUACAGCUCCGAUUCAACCCCUAGCCUGGGAACCUCCAUAUGCCGCGGAAGCGGCCCAAGAGAUAGCAACAACAACAACAACAAACAACAACGACAAAAGACAAAAAGCCAAAAAAAAAAAAAAAAAAAAAAAAAGAAAAGAGAUGAGAAAAAGCCUUUAAGAAGGUCAGACAUUUCCCAUUGAGGAUUAUUUAAAAUCAGGAGUUCCAGUUGUGGCACAGUGGUUAACGAAUCAGACUAGGAACUGUGAGGUUUCGGGUUCGAUCCCUGGCCUUGCUCAGUGGGUUAAGGAUCCGGCAUUGCCGUGAGCUGUGGUGGAACUUCCAUAUGUCAAAGGUGAAGCUCUAAAAAUAUAUAUAUAUAUAUAUUAUGUAUUCAGAAUUUUCUAUUGGCCAAUAAUUUAUUAAACCAGUUAGAAAGAGCACUUUGAAAGAAGAAUCAAAGGCUAG